rnacentral:misc_RNA from 1 species
AGAGAGAGAGAGAGAGGGAGAAAGCUCUCUUAAUCCUAUAUAUGGUAUAUAAUAUAGUCCAAAGUUAUAAAUCAAAUUUAAUCAUAAAUAUAAAUUCCUUCUGAACAAAAUAUUAUUCACCCAAUAGCACUAUCAUGUUCAUGUACAACAACCUUGGCCAAAUAUUACACAAAAUUUUAGAAACAGAAAAAUAGCAACAUACUUUAAUUAGGACACGACUUCAAAAUGAAU